AUGGGGCUGCUCUGGCCUCGGGGGAUGGUGCUUCAUGGGGAAGGGGAUGGAGCCCAUGCUGAGGCCCCUGGGACAGUGGGAACAGUGGCCUGAAAACCCUGGGGGGCCCACAGCAAGGCUACUGUUUCUCGGCUGGGACGGCGGGGGCUGCAACAGCUCAGCUGACCAAUGUCAUCGCCCUUCCCCCAGAGGCUGGGACAAGCAGGGGCCAAGGAGGGGUGAGCCCUGGACCUGUGCUCACCAGCCCCCCCACUGUGUGUGGGGGGUCCUCCGGGGAGGGUCCCACCGGCACCCCAGCUGUGCCCAGGUCCAUCAACCCCCCAGGAUAGGUGGGGAGCACUGCCCACAGGUCAUCCCAGAACCAUAUCCUCAGUGCAGCUGCCUCAGAAGUGGCCACAGGCAGCACCUAAGGCUCCAUCAUGUGCCAUCCCAACUUAGAGCCCUCCUGUCCCUCUGAGGGCUUCAUCCCUGUGCACCUGCCUGCCACCCAGACAAGCGCUGCCUGAGGGACUCACCUGCAGGCUGGUACCUUCAGAGUUAACCUCAGAGUCCUCCCAGGCCUCCUGCACUGCCUCUCCACCCUGAGGUCUCCGCCCUCCUCCCCUAACACCCUAGCCAAGUAAACCACCCAGGCAGCAAGAGAUGCCCCACCCACAGUGGACCCCACGGGGCACCAGGGGCAAGGGUGUGGAGGGCCCCCCCACCCCGCACCAGAGCCCUCAGGGACUGGCCAACAGUUUCAGGCACAGCUCUGUGCUUGUCAAUGAAUGCCAUGACCCAAGACACAGUUUUACCAGGUUCGUCCCUAAAACAAGUCCAAAGGGACAUGAAGCAGGUGUGCCUGUGGCCAGAAGCAGAAGCCGCCACCCUGCUGGGCCAGUCUGGCAGGUUUGCAUCCUGGUAGGAUGACAAAGGUACACUCAGCCCAGUGCCAGGUGCCCUUCUACGUGGAGGGAAUGGAGGGUGUCAGAGCCUCCUGGGCCUCCACCAGAACGCAGAGGAAGGCGGGAAGCCCUCUUCCAGUGACGGCCAGCACAGUAGCCCUGGUGCUGGGCACAGCUCACGGGAGGGAGACACUGGCUGAUAAGACUACAUGCCUAGUUUCCACUUCGUCCUCCAAACCUGUAGUGAACCGCAUACUCUGGGAAGCCCUGAAGCUCCUGCAGAUCGAUCUCAGCCAGUGCGGGGCCGGUCACCACGAACAUGCGCAGCAUGCUGUAGAUGCGCUCCAGCGACAGGCUCUCCAGAUUGGUCAGCAUGGCCUGGAUGUAUGUCCAAAAAAGCUGGGGAGACAGAGGCCAGGCCAGCUGUUAGGCCAGCACCCGCAGGGAUGCCACCUGGCCAGGGGCCGACCCAGGCCACCAUCCCCCACCGCAGCCACACCAGCAGCUCCUCCUCCUUCUGGUCGGCCUGGGAAGCCAUGCCGGAGUCACUCUCCUCGUCGCUGUCGAUGAGCACCAUGCUGUCUCGGUCCUGGGGCCGCUCCUCUUCAACGACAGAGAAGGUCCCAGCAGGCUCCUCCCUCAGCACGCCCUGCUGCAACCACACGGACAUCCGCCGCCGCAGCAGUGCCACAGGCAUCUUCACCACCUUGCUCAGCUCCUCCAAGGUCCAGGUAGCUGUGUGGAGCAGCCAGGAGCACUGGACACACGGGGCAAGGCCAAGCUUCCCCCUGCCCCGUCAACACCCUCUCCCACAGCCUCCCGGCAUCAGCCUGCUGGGAGGCAUGGCUGGGACAGGCCAACUAGGGGUCAGCAGGCUCACCUUGGUCCUGGAAGUAUAGCAAGACCACCGCCUGCACGGGAGUCACGGCUACAGACAGGGUGCGGUCAGCCAGCUCCACAUCCAUGGUCACCAAGCCCAGAGUAUGCUUCCAACUGAGGGUCCGCAUCGCCUGGGGAGGGCUGGCGUCAGCACAGGCGGUCCUGCAGGUCUGGCUGAGUCCAGCUCAGAGCCCCCUGACUUGCCCCUACCAGGCAGGUGGCAGCAGUGGGCAGAGUGGAGGACGGGGCUCCUGCCCUCUCAACCACCCCGGUCUAACAAUGAGCACUGACCACCCAGGGAGGGCUACUGAUAGAAUCAUGUGGUCUCCACAAAAGACAUCCACAUCUGAACCCCCAGGACCCCAAAGCAUGACCUGAGCUGGAGACGGGGUUGUUGCAGAUGGGCCCAGUUACGACGAGGUCAGCUGGAGUGCAGUGGGCCCUGAUGGAACAUGGUCAGUGUGCUCACAGGGCAGAGGGAGACAGAGUGAGGACAGACGCAGAGACUGCAGGGAUGCAGCCACAAGUCAAGAGACACCAAGAAAGGCCUGCAAUCCCCUCCCCUCCUCGCUGGGGGGGACAGGAAGGACCGUCCCACAGCCCUGCUGACACCCUGGUCUCUGCACUAGCCUGCAGAAUGGAGGACAAGCUUGUUUUAAGGACUCCUGUUGUAGCACUGUGAUAGCCCACACUUUCGUCCUGGGAAGGGGGUGCUGCUGUAGCAAAUACCCAGGAUGUGAGAGUCUAUGGAGUGGGGCGACGGGCAGAGACUGGAAGAGCAGCAAGCACAUGCUCACUGAAGAGACUGUUGGCAGGAACGCGGCCAGGAACAUGGUGAGGUGUCCACGUGAGGAGGUAGCUGCAGCAAUGGAGGAAUUGUGACCCUGCCAGCUAGUGGCAGAGCCCUAUGUGAGCACGACGGAUGGAGGAAAGUGUAAGAGCGGCCUCCCAGCAGCACACAAGAGGCCGGACUGUGCAGGGGAGCUAGCAGGCGGGCCCGGACGCUGCCCCUGCUCUGUGCGCGCUGGAGAUGGAGCCCAGAGUACACCAGAGACCUGGACUCUGACGCUAGAGCUGACUAGUGGCUCCAGAAGAGCCAGGACAGAGACGGGCUGUCCAGAGAGGGGGUGUGUGAGGGCCCGUGGCCUGGAGGCCGUGUGUUUUAAGAGGCCCGGUGGGCAGGCUGAGGCAAGAAGAAUCCUCCCCUGGAGCCUCCAGAGACUGCAGCCCUACAAUCCAUAACUCGAUUUUGCCAGAACUAAGACAAUAAAUCUGCACUGUUUUAA